UUAAGAUACUAAGAGCAUACGGUGGAUGCCUUGGCGAUAUCUGCCGACGAAGGACGUGACAAGCUGCGAAAAGCUGCGGAGAGAUGCAAAUAAUCGGCGACCCGCAGACAUCCGAAUGGAGAAAUCCGGCUGUGAUGAUGCACAGCCAUCCAUGCCCAAGAGCAUGAGAAGGGAACCGGGCGAACUGAAACAUCUAAGUAACCCGAGGAAAAGAAAUCAAACGAGAUACCCCAAGUAGCGGCGAGCGAACAGGGAAGAAGCCCAAACCGGUGAAGGAAACUUUACCGGGGUUGAGGACCAUCAGACCCGCGAAGAACCUUAGCCGAAACUGUUGGGAAACAGUGCCAAAGACAGUGAAAGCCUGGUAGGCGAAAAAGAGAAACGCGGAGAUGGCACCAGAGUACCGCGGGACACGAGAAAUCCCGUGGGAAGCAGGGGGGACCACCCUCCAAGGCAAAACACAGAUAUCGACCGAUAGCGCAUAGUACCAUGAGGGAAAGGUGAAAAGCACCCCGGGAGGGGAAUGAAAGAGAACCUGAAACCGUAUGUUUACAAGCAGUCGGAGACCGCUUAAUAAUAAGGUCGACGGCGUGCCUAUUGAAGAAUGAACCGGCGAGUUACGAAGCCUGGCAAGGUUAAGCAGGAAAUGCGGAGCCGAAGCGAAAGCGAGUCUUAAGAGGGCGCAAGUCAGGAAGCGUAGACCCGAAACCACAGUGAUCUACCCAUGUCCAGGUUGAAACACAGGUAAAAAUGUGUGGAGGACCGAACCUAUAUCCGUUGAAAAGGGUUAGGAUGAGGUGUGGGUAGGGGUGAAAUUCCAAUCGAACGUGGAGAUAGCUGGUUCUCCCCGAAAUAGCUUUAGGGCUAGCCUCAGGGAAAAGAUUGCAGGCGGUAGAGCACUGAUCAGGAGAGGGACCUACCCGGUUACCAAACCCAGUCAAACUCCGAAUGGCUGCAAUCAUACCUGGGAGUCAGACUGCGACUAAUAAGGGCCGCAGUCAAAAGGGAAACAGCCCAGACCAUCAGCUAAGGUCCCCAAUGCCGUGCUAAGUGGCGAAGGAUGUGGCAUUUCAUAAACAACCAGGAUGUUGGCUCAGAAGCAGCCACCAUUUAAAGAGUGCGUAAUAGCUCACUGGUCGAGAGACGCUGCGCCGAAAAUGUCCGGGGCUCAAGCACGGAACCGAAGCUAUGGCAUGAUAGCAAUAUCAUGGGUAGGGGAGCGUUCUUAUAAGGAAGAAGCAUGACCGGAAGGACAUGUGGACAAAUAAGAAGUGAGAAUGCCGGUAUGAGUAUCGAAAAGAAAGGUGAGAAUCCUUUCCACCGAAAGCCCGAGGGUUCCUGAGCAACGAUCGUCGACUCAGGGUAAGUCGGGACCUAAGCCGAGGCGAGAAGCGUAGGCGAUGGACAACAGGUUGAAAUUCCUGUACCGGAUCAAGUCGAUCGAGCGAAGGAGCGACGCAGGAGGGCACAUGAUCGCGCGGCUGGAAGAGCGCGUCCAAGUGCGUAUGUUGCCGCAGAGGAAAACCCCUGCAGCUAAAAGCAGAGACAUGAAGGGGAGUUAAAGGAAACUUUGACGAACUCAUGGAUCCCACACUGCCAAGAAAAACUUCUAGCGAGACAAGAUCCGCCCGUACCGUAAACCGACACAGGUAGGCGGGGAGAGAAUCCUAAGGUGCGCGGGAAAACCCUCGUUAAGGAACUCGGCAAAUUGCAUCCGUAACCUAGGGAGAAGGAUGGCCCCCGGUCAGUGAAGAGCAGAAACGCUCAGAGCUAAAAGGGGCGGCAGAAAAGAGGCCCAAGCAACUGUUUACCAAAAACACAGGUGCCUGCGAAAGCGAAAGCUGAAGUAUAGGUGCUGACGCCUGCCCGGUGCCGGAAGGUUAAGGAGAGAAGUUAGCGAACGCGAAGCAUCGAACUGAAGCCCCGGUGAACGGCGGCCGUAACUAUAACGGUCCUAAGGUAGCGAAAUUCCUUGUCGGGUAAGUUCCGACCCGCAUGAAAGGCGUAAUGAUUUGGGCACUGUCUCAACGAGGGGCCCGGUGAAAUUGAAAUACCUGUGAAGAUGCAGGUUACCCGCGACUGGACAGAAAGACCCCAUGGAGCUUCACUGCAGCUUGAGAUUGAAUCCCGGUGACAGAUGCACAGGAUAGGUGGGAGGCGCCGAAGCAUUGCCCUAGGGCGGUGCGGAGCCGAUGUUGGGAUACCACCCUUCUGUUGCUGAGAUUCUAACGCGAGGAGUAACGACCCUGCGGACCCUCUCAGGCAGGCGGUUUGACUGGGGCGGUCGCCUCCGAAAGAGUAACGGAGGCGCCCAAAGGU
rnacentral:rRNA from 1 species